rnacentral:rRNA from 1 species
UUAAGCGACUAAGCGUACACGGUGGAUGCCUAGGCAAUCAGAGGCGAUGAAGGACGUGCUAAUCUGCGAUAAGCGUCGGUAAGGUGAUAUGAACCGUUACAACCGACGAUUUCCGAAUGGGGAAACCCAGUGCAAUUCGUUGCACUAUCGUUUGAUGAAUACAUAGUCAAACGAAGCGAACCGGGGGAACUGAAACAUCUCAGUACCCCGAGGAAAAGAAAUCAACCGAGAUUCCCCUAGUAGCGGCGAGCGAACGGGGAGCAGCCCAGAGUCUUAAUCAGCAUUAGCAUCAGGAGAACGGUCUGGAAAGUCCGGCAGUAAAGGGUGAUAGCCCCGUAUCCGAAGGUGUUAGUGUUGUGAACUCGACGAGUAGGGCGGGACACGUGUUAUCCUGUCUGAAUAUGGGGGGACCAUCCUCCAAGGCUAAAUACUCCUGAUUGACCGAUAGUGAACCAGUACCGUGAGGGAAAGGCGAAAAGAACCCCGGCGAGGGGAGUGAAAUAGAACCUGAAACCGUGUACGUACAAGCAGUGGGAGCCCCAUCACUCAAGUGCCUCGGCAAUUGAGUGAGGGUGUAAAACCAUCACAAUAACAGCGCAGGAUUUGCCAACAAGAUUGGCUGAUUUUUUCAAGCCGCAGCGCAGUGGACAUCGAAGUCCAUGAGCAGCGGAAGUUAAAAAAUCGGGCAAGAUUGGCUGCAAAGACAAGCGGGACAUUUGAGGAUGGGGUGACUGCGUACCUUUUGUAUAAUGGGUCAGCGACUUAUAUUCUGUAGCAAGGUUAACCGUAUAGGGGAGCCGUAGGGAAACCGAGUCUUAACUGGGCGAAUAAGUUGCAGGGUAUAGACCCGAAACCCGGUGAUCUAGCCAUGGGCAGGUUGAAGGUUGGGUAACACUAACUGGAGGACCGAACCGACUAAUGUUGAAAAAUUAGCGGAUGACUUGUGGCUGGGGGUGAAAGGCCAAUCAAACCGGGAGAUAGCUGGUUCUCCCCGAAAGCUAUUUAGGUAGCGCCUCGUGAACUCAUCUUCGGGGGUAGAGCACUGUUUCGACUAGGGGGUCAUCCCGACUUACCAACUCGAUGCAAACUACGAAUACCGAAGAAUGUUAUCACGGGAGACACACGGCGGGUGCUAACGUUCGUCGUGAAGAGGGAAACAACCCAGACCGCCAGCUAAGGUCCCAAAGUCAUAGUUAAGUGGGAAACGAAGUGGGAAGGCUCAGACAGCCAGGAUGUUGGCUUAGAAGCAGCCAUCAUUUAAAGAAAGCGUAAUAGCUCACUGGUCGAGUCGGCCUGCGCGGAAGAUGUAACGGGGCUAAACUAUGCACCGAAGCUGCGGCAGCGAUAUGUAAAUAUUGUUGGGUAGGGGAGCGUUCUGUAAGCCUGUGAAGGUGUGCUGUGAGGCAUGCUGGAGGUAUCAGAAGUGCGAAUGCUGACAUAAGUAACGAUAAUGCGGGUGAAAAACCCGCACGCCGGAAGACCAAGGGUUCCUGUCCAACGUUAAUCGGGGCAGGGUGAGUCGACCCCUAAGGCGAGGCAGAAAUGCGUAGUCGAUGGGAAACGGGUUAAUAUUCCCGUACUGGUGAUAAUUGCGAUGGGGGGACGGAGAAGGCUAGGCUAUCCGGGCGACGGUUGUCCCGGUUUAAGGAUGUAGGCAGGUGAAUUAGGCAAAUCCGGUUCACUACAUGCUGAGGUCCGACGACGAGUCACUACGGUGAUGAAGUAGCUCAUGCCCCGCUUCCAGGAAAAGCCUCUAAGCUCUAGAUUAUCAUUAAUCGUACCCCAAACCGACACAGGUGGUCAGGUAGAGAAUACUCAGGCGCUUGAGAGAACUCGGGUGAAGGAACUAGGCAAAAUGGUGCCGUAACUUCGGGAGAAGGCACGCUGGCAUUAGGUGAAGUGGUUUACCCAUGGAGCUGAAGCCAGUCGCAGAUACCAGCUGGCUGCAACUGUUUAUUAAAAACACAGCACUGUGCAAACACGAAAGUGGACGUAUACGGUGUGACGCCUGCCCGGUGCUGGAAGGUUAAUUGAUGGGGUUAUCCGUAAGGAGAAGCUCUUGAUCGAAGCCCCAGUAAACGGCGGCCGUAACUAUAACGGUCCUAAGGUAGCGAAAUUCCUUGUCGGGUAAGUUCCGACCUGCACGAAUGGCGUAAUGAUGGCCAGGCUGUCUCCACCCGAGACUCAGUGAAAUUGAACUCGCUGUGAAGAUGCAGUGUACCCGCGGCAAGACGGAAAGACCCCGUGAACCUUUACUAUAGCUUGACACUGAACAUUGAGCCUUGAUGUGUAGGAUAGGUGGGAGGCUUUGAAGCGUGGACGCCAGUCUGCGUGGAGCCAACCUUGAAAUACCACCCUUUAAUGUUUGAUGUUCUAACGUUGCCCCAUUAUCUGGGGUGCGGACAGUGUCUGGUGGGUAGUUUGACUGGGGCGGUCUCCUCCCAAAGAGUAACGGAGGAGCACGAAGGUUGGCUAAGCAUGGUCGGACAUCAUGCGGUUAGUGCAAAGGCAUAAGCCAGCUUGACUGCGAGAGUGACGGCUCGAGCAGGUACGAAAGUAGGUCUUAGUGAUCCGGUGGUUCUGAAUGGAAGGGCCAUCGCUCAACGGAUAAAAGGUACUCCGGGGAUAACAGGCUGAUACCGCCCAAGAGUUCAUAUCGACGGCGGUGUUUGGCACCUCGAUGUCGGCUCAUCACAUCCUGGGGCUGAAGUAGGUCCCAAGGGUACGGCUGUUCGCCGUUUAAAGUGGUACGCGAGCUGGGUUUAGAACGUCGUGAGACAGUUCGGUCCCUAUCUGCCGUGGGCGUUGGAAGAUUGAAAGGGGCUGCUCCUAGUACGAGAGGACCGGAGUGGACGCACCACUGGUGUUCGGGUUGUCAUGCCAAUGGCAUUGCCCGGUAGCUAAGUGCGGAAGAGAUAACCGCUGAAAGCAUCUAAGCGGGAAACUUGCCUUGAGAUGAGUCUUCCCUGACUCUUUAAGAGUCCUAAAGGAACGUUUAAGACUAAGACGUUGAUAGGUUGGGUGUGUAAGCGUAGCGAUACGUUGAGCUAACCAAUACUAAUGAACCGUGAGGCUUAACC